AUAGAUCUAGAAAUCGGGAAAAACCCGAUCUUUUCUUCCUCUUCCUCCUUCCUUUCGCGCACAGUAACCGGAGAAGGAAAAUCGGCAAGUUCUUCGUCGUCGAUCCACCACAGGUCAUCCCACCGGUCGGGAAAGCUUCCUCUCUCCCUCCUCCUUCAUCUCAGAAAUCCUUGUGGUCAUGGUUGCUAUUGAGGUCCUGAUCAUGUUCCUAACCUUUAUGCAACUCGAUUUGGCUGGUGGAGGAAGAAUUUGAAGGUGAACAGUAGGGUGAACAGUGACGUCGGGUUCUCUUGCUUUUGGGUUGAAAUUCCGGCCAAAUCCCUUGGUUUUAGUUGUUGUUGCAAGUAUAGAUAUUGUUGGGUUUGUUGUAGUGAUGCUUUUGGUGUAAUUUGAGUCGCCGGGUAUGGGAGUUGGUGUGGUGGUGGUGGUGAGGAGGCUCAGUCAGCCCCUCAAAAUGCAUUAUUUUAAUUUUGUUUAAUUUUUGAGUUAUACCUAAGGUUUGAGGAUGCUUGGUUAUAGAGAUUUCAUGAAAAUUUGAUGUUGGACAUUGUUUUAUAAAUAUUAAUAUUUGAAUC